rnacentral:snRNA from 1 species
GGAUGUAAGGGUGAUCUGGGUACAACUUCUGUCACCCCAUUGAUCAUCAGAUUUGAUUCCAUUGCUCUGGUUGAGUAAGCAUGUGUCUUUGUCCUCCAUUCCUGCUCCAUGUGCUUCCUUCCUGAACCUGUGUGCUCCAAGAGGACAGCCUUCACCUAUAGAGGAGGACCAUUCUUGGGUCAAGGGUCUAAUUUAA